AUGAGCUCACUGGUUCUACUGCUGGCCACCCUGGGGCUCCUGGUUCAGGGUUCAUCAGGACAAAUCACCCUGACUCAGUCUCCUGAAUCUCAGUCUGUUGUUCCAGGACAGACUGUCUCCAUCAGAUGUAAAACCAGUUCAGGUGUUUACAGCAAUCUCCACUGGUACCUUCAGAAACCUGGAGAAGCUCCUAAACUCCUGAUUUAUGAUGCUUCAAGCCGUCAGUCUGGAGUUCCAGGUCGUUUCAGUGGAAGUGGAUCUGGGACUGACUUCACUCUGACCAUCAGUGGAGUUCAGGCUGAAGAUUCAGGAGUUUACUACUGUCAGCAGGGUUACAGCUCGUUCACACAGUGAUACAACGUCGUACAAAAACCUCCCUCAGCUGGAGAGGAACUGAUCUGAAUCAACAGCUGCACUCAAACUAAAACUAAAGGCUUUACUAAAAAUAAACAAUUAUUUAUAAUUUCCUUUGAAUAUUUGAACACUAAAUAUACUGUACAUAACAAAAAGUUAUACUUUUAAUGUUUUCAUACAAACAAGGUUUGAUACUGAUGAUACUGUUGAAGUAAUAUUUCACUUUGAUCAGGUCAUUCCCUGGAGUAUGAUGACAUGUGGACAAUCAAUUUGU